ACACCGUUAUGAAGUGAGUGGAUUUUAUAUGAAAUAAAGAACAGCUGGAUUUAGUGGUGUUCAGCAAAAAUGCACCUAUUUAUCACACUUCAAUCACAAAGACUUAGCGCGCUGGUCGAUACAAAGUCAGAUCAGAUCAAACAUUUAUUGAUUUUGCCACACAUGUACAUACAUGAACAGGCAUUUUACAUUAGCUUUUGUACAAUCCGGGUAUAUUAUACGGGUGAAAUUUUAUAUUGAUAAAAUAUUAACGAAGCGACAUAAUAUUAUCGACUAAUCUAUUUUUAGCUUAAACCGUUGUACAAGAUAUCGGAUUUUAACGCAGUUAACAUUGAAAAAAUGUAAACAAAAGUAAACGAACAUAAUUUCGAAAUACUUUUUAACAUCCAGAAUAAAUAUGGAAUGAACACUCGCAGUUAUUCAAGAAUCGAUUCCACACAAUGCCCUGUGAUGAGCUGUUUGUACUCAAAUACACUGGAACAGCAGUAAUAUGUCGCAGAAUAUACCAGGAAAAGAAAAAGUCAAGUUUACUGAAAAGAAAAAUGUACGCGUUUAUGUACCUACCCAAAUCACUGACACCAUUGAUAAAAAGUGGAACAUAAUAUGUCUUCCUUUACUCGGGUUUUCAGUGUUAGGUUUCGGAAUCGCAUUGAUUAUCGCCGGAGCUGUGAAGGAUAUAGAAGACUUGAUAAUAUUAGGAUGUCUCUUCGGUGCUGGAAGCAUGAUGUUCUUUGCAAUUAUGUAUACGGCAGUUUGUAGACCUAGAUGUCAACGUAACAUUGUUGAGACGUUAAAUCUAGUUGAAACGUCUAACGACGUAAGGCCAACUAGCGGUAAAAGUAACGUUGAAUUUUAUAACGCUGCUUUUGACCCUAAUGAGGAUUUAAUAAGUGCUAGAAAUAGACCACAGCCUUCAGAAAAUGAUCUUUAUGGAGAAAAAAUGCGAUCAUUUCUAGCCACUCCCGCAACUACCUCAGGCGUUGUUUUCUAUGCUGACACACCUGGUACCCCACCGCCACCUCGAUUGGCGCUGCCGAGUGAACCAGGUGAUAAAAAGAACGCGGUAUUUACGAUGGACGUGAGCAAAGAAAUGACAAAGAAAACGCACGACAUUUCUCAACUUGAGUUACUGUAAACUCACUCUACGUGCCUUUUAUAAUUUCAUAUAUUCUUUUAAGCAGAUAUCUACUCAUUUUUGCCAUAAAAUUACUCUUAAUUUUUGCGAGAUAAACUUACUUAAAGAACACGUUGUGACUGCUUUUGUUGUGACAUUUGCAAACUCAGAAGACAUCAGUGCAUCGAAUAUUUGGUGACUAAGUUUUAUUUCUAUGAGAUUAUUAGAAAUUCGGGAUCGAAUAAAACAGACACUCUGCGUGCCUAGUUUAUAUGGUAGUUGUUAACGUCGAUUACAUAUAACAAUGAGACAUACGCUUCUGAAAUAUCAGUUAACAUCUGUGAUACCCUUAAGAAAAUUUGUAAAAACACUCAUCGAGUCUCAAUUAAUUAAGGUGCCAAAUUUGUAUGUUUAUUUAUAUUAUGUAAGCUACUAUGUACAUAAUUCCUUAUUUAUUUCUUUUCCAUGUAUUUUGUUUAUAUGUAAUGAUGUAUUUGAUACCAUGACAAUGUAUUAUCAUUCAGGACAAUGUGUCAGCUGAGCAUAUAGAUUAUAACAUUUAUAUGGUAUUUGUUUCUUUCAGUUUAAGAUUGGGAAGUGCCUUUCACGAGUGAACAGUAGAUGCAAUAUUUUCACAUUUAAGAAAACGAGAACAUUACCAUCUUUCUAAAGAUGAAAAAAAAAAUGAACACAAAAAAUUUGACACGUGAAAUAAGUCCAAAAAUACAACUUAAUAAUUUAUCAAUUUGUUUCUUGUAGAUUCAUAUAAAAAUUUUGUCAAGCGAACAACUUUAUUCUGAAUUGCAUCUAGCAGAAUUUUAGAUCUUGUUAAUGUUUUCCAUACGCAAUAAAUCUUACCAGUAAUAGUUUUCCUCUAUGGAAAUGCGCGUUAAGUGUUAUUCUGAUUCUGCAUGAUGCUUAUUACAUUUGGUACACAAAUAUCCUAUUAAGUAACAAAGAACUGCUUUGUUUUAUGCUGUUAUCUUUAAUUUAAUGAUAUAUUACUACUAACAAUAUAAGAAAAUAUGGCAGUGGAGCAGAUAAAUAUAAAUGUUUACCAUCGAUUAGGAUGAACACAUCUAUCGUUCCUAUAAUGAUCUUUGCUAAAAGUUUCUUGAUAAGUAACUGGAAAAUAAUAAAAUUGUUGUGCAACUGCCAUAUUAUCCUGAAUGACUAGUAUUACUCGUAUGUAUUGACCUGACACUCAAUACAAUGCCAUUCGGUAUUUUACGCAAUAUUUUGCAUCCUGAAAAUAUUAACUAAAAUCAUAUAAAAAGUUAAUCAACGACACGGUGGUGUAAUGGGUUAAGCUCUCGGACAUCUACUCCCGUUACCAUGGGUUCGAAUUAAGUUCAGAGCACUUUUCUUAAUUCGAUGUAAUGUAAUUUUAUAGAUAUUGCUUUUAUUAUUACGUCAUGUAACACAUUUCAUAUUUUCCAAAACAAAAUGUAUUUUAUGAUUUCAUUUUUCCGUCUACUGACGACAGUUGCUUGAAUUUGUCGGUUGAAUGAACGAACACCUGUCCGGUCCUGGAUUUUCCUGAAAACUUCUGGAAACGCUGGCGAUGGGUUAGUUAUUUUUACCAUUAGACGUAACAAGAUCGAAGAUGUUUAAAGUUUUUCGUCGAUAUUUUGUACAACGGUUUACUAACAUGUACAUACAAGAAUGUUGAAUACUAGUGUAUUUCUUGUACUAAAUGAACCGCAAAAAUUUGGUUUAAGUGUGACAAUCUUCCCGUCAAAAAUAUAGCCAACGGUCAGACACAGAGUUCGAACCUACAACCCCGAGAUUGGCGGCUGAUUUUUUUUGUCUGCAGAUCACAUACGACAAAAUAUUAAUCAAAACAUUAGACCAAGUAUCCAAUAGUUAUAUCGCUAUUUCGGUUCGGACACCGACAUUUAAUUUACGGAAAAGAUGUAACUCAUGCAGAUCAUUACUUACAAAACGGCAGCAGUUAAGGUAAAGUCAUUUACUAAUAACCUAACAAUAAAACAUUCACAUAAUGCAACGCCCAGUAUGUCCUUGUCGCAAACAUACUUAGCCACACAAUUGUUUAAUAUUUCGGAUGACGCUACUUCAGCACCCAGGUCCGCUCAUUAUUUGACUCGGAGUUUAUAGAUAUCUUACUGUAACUGUCGCUGAUCGGUCAUUUGUGUAUUAAAUUUUACUUUCGGUUGUUAUCGUUAGGAACUGGGAACCUUUUCAUUUACUUCAAUUGCUGAAUUAUAUUUGAAGAACUUCGAUCCACUUAGAAGAUGCUGAAUUUCAAUAUACAGAUUUUAUACUUAUUUUAUUGCAUGGAACUUUACAUGUAUUUUAUAUACACGGGCAGUGGUAUACAAGUGUCUCACUCAUCUCGCUCUCAUAUUUGCAGUUUGCACAGCUUAGAUGAGUAGUGCUCAUCUUUGUGCCUCCACAGGUCCGUGAUUGAAGACCUGGAUCUUGACCAGACAUUUCAUUCACACACUCUGGUAGAACUGGGGUACAGAUUACAGAACAGACAUAUUAAGAUUUAUGAAUUUUUCAUCACUUUAUGUACACUUUUUCAGUUGUAUUGUUAAAACUUAUCAGAUGUGGCUUGUACUUCAUCCCUUAUGUCUCUCAUUCUUUAGGCGGUAUUUAAUAGGUAUAUCGGGGAUUUAGGGUACGGCUCCUUAAGUAAAAUUGCUUAAGUCAGACUAAGCCUCGCAUGAACUAGGAUUUGAAUCGCAUAUUUUUAUGUUGUUAUUAAGUUCAGCGUCCCUGAACCCCGACAAUAUUACUAACAAAUCCUAAAGAGGAUUAAAAUGGGUUAUGAUUAUUACUAAUGAUCAGCUUUUACAUGCAGUUCAUAACAAGUGAAUGUAAAUAUACUAUAAAUGUUUAGGUUGCAACACAUUAUUCCAGUCUGAAACAGAGUGUGUGAAAGUAGGAUAAUAUUAGCUGGACCUCCAACAACAAAAAUGAAAAAAAAAAUGAAGACGAUUAGUUUGAAGCAGUGAAUUAAUGAAAUGAUGUUUUAUCAAAAUAGGCUUGUUUCCUCAAGAAUUACACUGCAGAUAAAAACUACAGCAAUGGAUAUUACAACAAUGUAGAUCGAUGCCACAAUGUUUGAAACUUAACAUAAUUCGAACUGUAGGAUAGAUACCAUAACGGAACAGAACUUAAAUUAUCACUAAUUGUCUGUGUUUUAUGACAACAUUAAACUGAUUUGAAUAUCUUUAGACAAAGCUGCAAAAAUGCCACCAAAACCGAAAGGUGAAGUUAUAGCAGUAGAACAACGUCAGCGCCAACUUAGAUUGAUGUUGGAUCAAAGGAAAACCAAGUGUUCGAGUGUUUGUGUCGGUGUUUUUAUAUUCCUGUUUACUUUAAGUUUAGGUAUAUGUCUCAUCAUUCUUGGAUUCAUUUUAAACAACCAGGAUUUCCUGAUCGUCGGAGGUGUGUUUGGCGUUGGAGGAAUACUAUUUUUUGUACUACUCUUUGUCGGACACUGUAGAUCACACUUUGAAAAUAGACAGAUCCGCUCCGAAUACUAGUUUAGUCGGAAAAUAAAUCAGGCAUUGGAUGAAUUUUCUCCUUCCAGAGAUUAGUAAAAAAGAUGACAAAGUGAACCUUUGAAAUGUAACAACGUUUAUUUAAACUCAAAUAGUUCAGCACUGUAAUGUUGGGGAUUUGCUGAUUGAAAUCUGUAAUCACGAUUUCGUUUGUGUCCCCUUAUAGACGUGCCACAAAAUAACUGUAUUCUUUUGUAUUUCCAUGAUGGUAAUUAUACAUAUUUUGCAUGAAGAAAAUGAGAAAUAACAAGUAUGUAGUUACAAACUGAUAGUGACGACAAUGUGUUUAAGGGCUUAAUAUAUUAUUUUAAUGUAGUAGUAUGCACAGUAUUUGAUAUAUUAAUGCGAGUUAGAUAGUUAUUAUUCUAUGUUUAUAAAGCUAUACUGAAGUUUGUAGAGGAGUCAAUUCAGGGAGAGCCUAAAUUGUCCACCUGUCAUCUUGUAGAAUAGCUGUGUUAUACCAGUAUUAUCAGAAUGAUUUGCACGAAGUUCAUGUGGGAGGAAAAAGUAGGUCACUAGGUCGUGGUGUUUUUUCGGGAAGAGAAUUUAAGAAUGAUAUAAAUAAGCCCAAAAUGUCUUCAUAUUCUUGCACGAUUGUCAACUAAACUGUCGACUAUAUUUCAUACAAAUUUUGAAAAAGAUACCAGUUUUGUCUUGGUUAAUUUGGAUCUUAAAAGUGUUCAUACCUUUUUUUGAAUCCGGAGCGAUAAACAACUUUAGAAUGAUCUAAAAGUCAUAGCAAAAUAUCUUAUAGUGCUCAAUAGGUGGAGUAAAUUUAUGGGUCUCCAAUUAUUUUGCCUGGGAUAUGUUCUAUACUAUUACUAUGCAUUCCUCAUUCAUUUAUUAUCCAUUACAAUUCUGAAAUCAUUAAGCUCUUCAAUUAAGCCCGGUCUCAAUGUCUUAUGCUUUUUUUAAUACGCGGUCUCGUCUUUAAAUAUGAAUAAGUGUCGUGAAAAGAAUUUAACGGAAGCACGAACAGACAAAAACAUAGCCGUCCUUGUAUAUACAAUACUAAUUUAAACCCUUGAGCUAUCUAUACGCAAUGCAUGAAGACCAUUUGUUCAACAGUAAGUUAAACAAAUUUAAAUGCUAAAAACCGAAAUACUGUGUGACCUAACUAUUCAAUACAUUGAUUUGUUAUCAAAAAUAGAGGACAUUUAAUCAGUGUGUUGUGAAUAAAUUUUGUAUAAUCCAGACGUUAACACGGAACGGACUUUAAUGCGUGUUGUUUUGAAUUCCAUUGAUGUUUUAUUUGAAGAAAUUAUUAUGACUAAAAAUUGUGGAAUAUUAGAUCUUAUAUUCAAUGACAUCAAAAUAUUGAUUACACAUGCACACAGAACAAAGACUUAUAUUACAUACAAGUGUUAAUAGUUUUGUGAUUCUUGGGUACAGACCUUUGAUCUGUACUUUUUAAUUUCUUAAGUCUUUCUGCAUAUACCCAGAUCUUUAAAAAAUGCUUAAUAUUCUUUUAAAUUAUUGAUUCAAACAGGAUGGAUCUUAAAACAUAAUUGGACGAUGACCACUGUUUGAGCAGCGCUUAGUGAUAUGUUUAAAUGUAGUGUAGUUAUAUAUUGGACGAAAGCUUAAAGUCGACACACGCAAUGCCCAGCCAAGGCCAAUCGAUACCUAGGCAGGUAUCUGAGGCGGCCACAACAGAACGUAAAGUUCAGUUGGCAAAGCUUUUAGAACAAAACAAGACGAGCUUUUCAACUGUUUGUAUAGGAAUGUUGGUAGUGGUGUUUUGUUUGGCUGCUGGGGCAACAUUGAUCAUACUCGGAAUCGUCUACUCAAACAAGGACUGUCUCAUCCUUGGAAGCAUAUUUGCUUUCGGGGGAAUAGUGUUCUCGAUACUGUUCACUGUUGGACAAUGUAGACCUUAUCUGAAAAACAGACAAAUUCGUGCCGAAUAUACCAAAGAACUAUACGAGUCGGAGGGAGCGAAAAAGCCUGUUUCGGUUGGAAAUUAUGUUUCUUCAAAGGCAGAAAUCCAAACUGGAAAUUAUUAUUCUUCUACGGUGGAGGAUGAAUCAACUCGAACUGUAACAUUCUUCUAGAAUGUGUUGCAAAGAUUGGUUCGUCUAAACAUUUGUAAAAAUGGCCAAGACCCAAUAUAUGAUGUUGUAGUUUAUUUGUACUGUAAAUUGUAUAAUGCAUGAUUUAUCUACAAUGUAUUGAGUAACUGAUAAGCCUUAUAAGGCUGGGUAUUGAUCUGAUCUAAUUGUUGUAAUAAUUGUAUUGUAUCUGUUUAUUUUGUAUCUGUCACUAUAAUAAAUAAUAAUAAAGUAAACGCCAGCCUGC
rnacentral:lncRNA from 1 species